GGGUUUUGUAGAGGGUGGUAGAAUUUCAGGUGUAGCGGUGAAAUGCGUAGAGAUCUGAAGGAAUACCAGUGGCGAAAGGCGGCCACCUGGACAAAGACUGACACUGAGGCGCGAAGGCGUGGGGAGCAAACGGGAUUAGAUACCCCGGUAGUCCACGCAGUAAACGAUGUCUAUUAGAAGUUUGUGGCUAUAUGCCGUGGGUUUCAAAGCUAACGCAUUAAAUAGACCGCCUGGGGAGUACGGCCGCAAGGUUAAAACUCAAAUGAAUUGACGGGGGCCCGCACAAGCGGUGGAGCAUGUGGUUUAAUUCGAUGCAACGCGAAGAACCUUACCAUCCCUUGACAUCCAGAGAAUCACCUAGAGAUAGAUGAGUGCCUUCGGGAACUCUGAGACAGGUGCUGCAUGGCUGUCGUCAGCUCGUGUUGUGAAAUGUUGGGUUAAGUCCCGCAACGAGCGCAACCCUUAUCCUUAGUUGCCAGCACGUAAUGGUGGGAACUCUAGGGAGACUGCCGGUGAUAAACCGGAGGAAGGUGGGGACGACGUCAAGUCAUCAUGGCCCUUACGGGAUGGGCUACACACGUGCUACAAUGGCAAAUACAAAGGGUUGCUAACCUGCGAGGGUAUGCGAAUCUCAUAAAGUUUGUCGUAGUCCGGAUCGGAGUCUGCAACUCGACUCCGUGAAGUUGGAAUCGCUAGUAAUCGUGGAUCAGAAUGCCACGGUGAAUACGUUCCCGGGCCUUGUACACACCGCCCGUCACACCAUGGGAGUGGGCUGCACCAGAAGUCAUUAGCUUAACCUUCGGGAUGGCGAUGACCGCGGUGUGGUUCAUGACUGGGGUGAA
rnacentral:rRNA from 1 species